rnacentral:sRNA from 1 species
AAAAGACAAAACAAAACAAAAUUGCUGCUGCCCGUGUCUAGAAACAGAGACUAUGUUGUAAAUGGUCUGGAAUGGGGCUUUACAUGACAACUGUAUGUGGUGUGCGUGCGUGCGUGCGUGCCUCUGUGUGUGUGUGUGUGUGUGUGUGCACGCAGGCUACCUGACUGUGGACACCAAAGUCCAAUGCCAAGACUUUGCUUCAGUUGUUCUUUAUACUUUGAGACAAGCUCUUUCGUUGAACCUGGAGGUUACUGAUUAGAUUAGAUUUGCUGGACAGACAGCCCCAGGGAUCUUUCUGUCUUUGCCUCCCCAGCAUUGAGGUUGCACAUGCUUCUCUGCACCUGGCACUUUUUAAGGAAAUCAUGUGGUAAGGACUAAAUUCAGGGUUUUUUAGGGGGGUGGUCGUGUGACAGCACUGUACUGACAAGCCAUCUCCCAAGCAAUUCUGAUGAUUCUAAUAUUUAGCCAAGUAUGAAAAUCACAGAUUCAAAGCAUGUCUCAUGUGGCCUUCUCCGGCAGCCAUGUCCUUGGAAACAGGAUUGUAAGGGUAAGAAUGACGUGUGUGAGGGGGCGUUUCCUAGAGCUUCCGAUUAAACCCUCGCAGCAUCUUCAGGAUCAGAUCUGUCAUCAGAGAGGACUGAAGAAACACAGGAUGGUGUUAAUACAAGUAAUGGUGCCGAGUGGGACUCCUAAGGAAGCCUAGUCCCCAAUUACCAGAUUUCUUCCACAAACACUGUGUUCAGAAAAUGAUAUUGCCUUUAUUGACUUCUUUUUCCUGAUUUGGUAAUGCUAAAUGCUACCCCAUCUGCCAAAGGUCACAGAUCCACCCAGGUACCAGUGUGAGGCAUCCCUUGAGGAAAGGCAUCAGAUGCCCUCUGCAGGGGCUUCCCUGUCUCUCAGGAUGCCAAGUUAAUUACUGGAACAAACACCAUCUCUCUUCUGCCAUUCUCCAGGUCAUUAAUGCUUCUGCCGCUUCCAGAAAUUGUUGAGUGGCUUCCUGGGAUACAGCAUCUAAUGUUACUGUGUUCUCAGCACAUGCCACAAGAGAUCCAGGACUAUGACGCUGGGAGGGGAGAUGCAGGCACAGAGGCAUGGGAAUUGGGGUAGGACAUGACAUCACAGAUGGGGUCUUGUGUCCCAGAAUGUGUUUUUAUCUACUUUUAAGUUAUUCAAACUCCUACCUUACAGAUGCUAAUCAGACCAAAUAGCAAACUCCACGUUAGAACCUGCAAAUGUUCUUGUUACUACAUGGGUUUGGGCUCAGAAAGACGUUAUUAUUCGACAAAAAUAAUCAGAGAAUAUUUACUGACGGGAGUGGGUAUAUUAACUGAGAAACGGAGCUAGACCCUGAAUCCAGGAAGGCAGGCAUCGUCUACUCUGAAAUGCAAUUUCACUUCACCCGAUGAUUUCUCUCUGAAAUACUGUUUCCACAUUUUUCAUAACUUCUCAUUGUGAAUCACGCUAUUCAAAUAGACUAAAGGUUUAUUCUAUCUUUAAUUAUAUGCCCACAGGAGUGUGUUUGCAUGUGGAUGGCAGUGACCAUAUAAGCCAAAAGGAGUCAGAUAUCUCGCGGCUGGCCUUACACUACAGGUGGCUACACCAGGAAAACUACACGAGAUACUACGAUGCCUGCUGAAGCUUCAUCAUAUUAAACAUCAUGUUACUGAUGGACUCCAUAGGCUGUGUGCAUGCACCAGGGUCUCAAGGAACCCAGCCAGGCCUUGAAAUCCACAUGUAGCAGAGGAUGGCCUUGAACUCCUUCUGCCGCCAUCUCCUGAAUGGUAAGAUUAUAGGUGCCUGCUGGGCAGCCUUAGAGGACACUGGAAUCCCUGCUGGCCCAUCUCCAGGAAGAACAUGGACUGAAGGUGGGGAAACUGCUGCAUGGUCAGGCUCUGCUCUAUUCUUCAGGAUGGCUAUUUGGGAAGCAGGCAGAGCACUGGGGCCUCAGGGUGACAGAACUGGUUCAGCAGGUGAACCCCAGAAGCCCGAGCCUGGGCUAAGGGUUCUGGUGUUGGAGCUGAGCUGUGAGGGUGAGGAGGACAAAAUGGCCUCCCCACCUCUGCAUUAUGAACUGUGACAAGGUAGCCACCACGCCACCAAUGGAACAUCACGAACUCUGCAUGAAAUUUCUGCAUCUUCAGUCCACAGCAGAUACUUCAACAAUAAAGGCUGGUUGAAGGAAGGGGGAAAAAAUGAAAACCAUCCUACAUUUCAAGUUGACUUUUGUAGAAGGUGAAAGAUAGGUACCUAAUUUCAUUCUCUGUGGGGGACACCUGGCUGUACCACCACCAAUUGUUGAAUAGGUUAUCCCUUUCCCAGUGUACAUUUUUGUCCUUUUUGCCAAUAAUUAGGUGGCAUAGCUUUGUUGGUUUAUUUCUGUGUCCUAUAGUCUACUCCUCUGGUCUACCUGUCUGUUUUUAUGCGAGUUCCAAACUGUCUUUAUCACUCUAGCUCUACAGUACAAUUUGAGUUUGGAUCUUGUGAAUACCCCUAGGUGUGUUUGAGGAUUGCUUUGGCUAUGUGUGCUAUCUAAUGGUUUUUUAUGGACUCUUGGAUAUUUUCCUAGAUCUCUGAAACAAGACAAUGUGGGAAUAUUAGUAGAUUUUGCAUUAAAUCUAUAGAUCGGUAGUAUAGUCAUUUACACAAUAUUAAUUCUACCAACCCAAGAGCAGGGAGGGCCUUUCAUUUACCCAUUUUCUAGUAACUUCUUUCAUGGCCUUUCUUGGUGUCUCAACAUUCUCACUAUAGAGGUCUUCCUCUUCAUUUGCUGGGUAUAUUCCCAGGUAAAAAUUAUUUUUUGGUGGUAGUGGGGUACUGGAAUAAUACUUUUCCUCAUUUCUUUCUCUAAGAGUGCUUGUUAGUAAUCUAUGAAUGUACAAUUUUAAGUGAGGUCACUCAAUCUCACAAAGAAAAAAAAGUAUAUUCUCUUUCAUAUGCAAAGCCUAGCCUAUGAUGUAUGUAUGUAAACAUAUGUAACUAUUGGUAUAGUACAGUAUUUAGAAAGGAGUGUAAGAAAAUGGAAUAAAAAAUGCAUGCUCAUGAGUUCACACAUGCAAUAUACUUUGUGUAAGUCAGUUCAAUGCUCUCUCAAGGUCUAACACAUUUUCAAUGCAUAAUUAGUCCCUAACUGGAUGGUAUCCACAUAUGAUUCCAGGAAGACAUGGAAUUUAGACUGUGGUUUUCAUUGUUUGACUAGUCUUGCAGGCUGUAGUUCUUUGUAAGUCCUGUUACACUUGGUAGAUUUUAUUAUUUAAACAUCAAUUUUAGCUAUCUAAAUACUAAAGUGUGAAGAUUGUUAAUAUGCUUAAAAUAAUCAUAUUCUUGAAAUUUCUGAAAGUUCCCAAGAAUAGUAAUCUACUGUCCUUCAAUUUCAGAAUAACAUGCCAGGAAUUUGAAACUACUGAGAAAUAUGCCUGCCCCCUCACCUCAUUAUUUGUUGAAUUCUAAAUUAUACCAUUGCUGUUGA